rnacentral:rRNA from 1 species
GACAGAGGGUGCGAACGUUGUUCGGAAUUACUGGGCGUAAAGCGCGUGUAGGCGGUCAUGCAAGUCGGGCGUGAAAACCCUGGGCUCAACCGAGGAAGUGCGUCCGAAACUGCGUGACUUGAGUUCCGGAGAGGAUGGUGGAAUUCUCGGUGUAGAGGUGAAAUUCGUAGAUAUCGAGAGGAACACCAGUGGCGAAGGCGGCCAUCGGGACGGAAAAUGACGCUGAGACGCGAAAGCGUGGGUAGCAAACAGG